CCCUCUUCCAAUCCUUUUGCUGGAAUCCGCUUGGUCCCACCUACUGAACCCAUUUCAGCUCCUGCUGAAGUUUCUACCGAAGCACAAGCUGCUAGCGAGAAAAUAGUUUCUCGGGACAAAGAUGAAAAAGAUGAUGAGAGCAAGGGAACUGAAAAUGAAAACGAUGAGAGCAGGGGAACUAAAAAUGAAAAAGAUGAUGAGAGCAAGGGAACUGAAAAAGAAAAAGAUGAGAAUGUGAAGCAACCAGAAAGUGAAACUGAUGAGUCGGUGGCUGAAUCUGCUGCAGAUAAGGAGAAAAGUGAUAUUAUCAAUGAGGCAUCCAAAACUGAGGGAAAUGAUGAAAAAGCAGCAGAAGAUGAAAAAACAAGGAAUGAAGGUAAGGAAGACAAAGGUGGUGAAAAUGCAGAUUCAAGUGCUGAGGCUCCCCCUUUCAGUU
rnacentral:lncRNA from 1 species